rnacentral:rRNA from 1 species
GGAUGCCCUGGCAGUCAGAGGCGAUGAAGGACGUGCUAAUCUGCGAUAAGCGUCGGUAAGGUGAUAUGAACCGUUAUAACCGGCGAUUUCCGAAUGGGGAAACCCAGUGUGAUUCGUCACACUAUCAUUAACUGAAUCCAUAGGUUAAUGAGGCGAACCGGGGGAACUGAAACAUCUAAGUACCCCGAGGAAAAGAAAUCAACCGAGAUUCCCCCAGUAGCGGCGAGC